UACGAAGGGGGCUAGCGUUGCUCGGAAUCACUGGGCGUAAAGCGCACGUAGGCGGAUCUUUAAGUCAGGGGUGAAAUCCUGGAGCUCAACUCCAGAACUGCCUUCGAUACUGGCGAUCUUGAGUCCGGAAGAGGUGAGUGGAACUCCUAGUGUAGAGGUGGAAUUCGUAGAUAUUAGGAAGAACACCAGUGGCGAAGGCGGCUCACUGGUCCGGUACUGACGCUGAGGUGCGAAAGCGUGGGGAGCAAACAGG
rnacentral:rRNA from 1 species